AUUUUUUCGGUCAAAGGUAUCCCUACUGGCUAGGCACUACUCAUUUGUCCUCACUGAAAUACUUCACCCUCGAAGGUUGCAAGUCCUGUGUGCAUCUUCCACCACUGGGGCAGCUCCCCAACUUAAAAUAUCUCAAAAUAAACCAAGCCUUUGCAGUUACUAAGAUUGGGCCCGAAUUUUUUGGUAAUUCCAGAUCAACUAAGAUCGUAGCUUUCCCCAAGCUUGAGGUGUUGCUAUUCUAUGACAUGCCUAAUUUGGAGGAGUGGACCUUUGUAGUUGAAGAAGAAGAAGCAAUAGCAGCAGGUAAGGAAGGUGAAGAGGAUGGAGCUGCUGCAAAGCAAAAGGGGGAAGCCCCACCUCCAAGGAUGCAGCUGCUGCCACAUUUGGAGAAGCUGGAAAUUAUCUGCUGCCUGAAGC
rnacentral:lncRNA from 1 species